AAAAGGCACAGCUGUAAAAUUUGAUUUCAUAUGCAGUUCAUGUUAAAAUUACAAAAAAAACUUAUGUUAGGUUUAUUUCUCAUCAGGUUAGUUGAUAGAUACAUCCAACCUUCUGCAAAAUCGCUAGGUUCAACAUUGAAACGUAGGAUUUUGUCGAUACAUGAACUGAAUAUAAAAAAUAAUCGACGGCGUUUUAUUUCUGCGGGAAAAUGACACAUGUAUGCGUUUUAUAUCAUUCCGUAGGCCUACGUAUAUAUACAAACAAAUGAUCACAUUAUUUAGCUACAAACACACAUUUUAAAAAAAUACAACACACAUAAAGAAAAAAGAUUUUUAAAAUGUCUAGCCUACAUGGCAACGUAAUUUAAAUUAUUCUGAAUAUGUAAUUGUGACCGUCACGCGUGACGCGUGAUAAUUUAAUUUUUUAAAGAAAUAAUUGUGGCAAAAUGAGUAGUAUGUUGAUAUCUUUGCUGAAAAUAUUUUCUGAUGAUUGUUGACAAAACGAGUUUUGAAAUGCACUUAAGCUAUAUGUAUACUGUCAGAUACUCCACUCUCGGAAACUCCUAGCUUUUACCCAAACUCCUCAUCCCUGGGUCCAGUAAUUAUAUUUUAUCAAGCAAUGGACAAUGAUUGCAGUUCGCCUAAAGAAUUACUAUCGCAGUUACGAAUUUUGUAGUGUUGAUAGACUUUAUCACUUCUUUUUUGUUUCAAGCCUGAUUGUUAUUGAACAUUGAACAUUAACAUUGAGUUUACACUACUGUAGGCUAUAAACAGAAAUUUAUCUGGGCUAUGUGCAGGGAAUACGAAAAAUAACAUAAAAUGAACUCCGCUGUUGUGAUUUUUUAUAAAUAUUUAAAUGUGUCGAAAUUCAAGCAAAAUAUAGUUGCAAUUUUUUAGAUCGAAUCCAGACAGUAUGAUAAACCGUAUUGCAGAGAGCAAAUUGUGUUAACUCCUUGGGGAUGGGAGGGGGUGGGGGCUGCUUUUCCUCACGCCCUCUACUGCCUCUUGGCCGCCAGGACUUGCGGUUAUAAAUUCCUCGGCUUAUCUUCAGAUUAAAAAAAUAAAGGGAAACUCUUGUUACGGAAAAGGUGGAACAAACUUUAGUUGCCAAACGUGUCCUGUUUAUCUAGCCCGCUAAAAUCUCUGAAUACAAUAAGGAAAUAUUCUCAACGAUUAUCAUUGUUUUUUUAUUUGCAGAAACCUAAACGAACCGAAACAUCGGACAGUAUUGACUACAGUACAGUUUGAAUUACAAGACAGAAAAAAAGCAACAAAUUUCAGACGUCCAACAUUCUUCCUGCUCACAUGCUUACAUCUUGUGGCGUCAGAUAAAUAGCCAGUAGCCAAGUAUUGAUGUAGCCGUAGUGGAAUAACUGGGAAACUCUUAAUUUUAUCUUUGAAGAAACUUAAAUGACAGUAUUGACUGGAGUUUGAAUUACUCAAAGGGAAAAAGACAAAACAGUCAAAAAAAAAAAAAAAACAGUCGUCCAUCUUUCAUCCGGCAUAUAUCCAUAGGUGUUGGAUAAAAAGCGAAGUUAUGGAGCCGAAAUGGAGUACUUGGGGAAAUUAUCUUUGAAGGAAAAGUUACCAAGAACCAGGCGCAACAGGAUGUUCAAGGAUACAGAAAAUUACUUACUGUAUUACUACCACCACUUAGAUGAUUGCCGACAUCUGUCAAAAAAUGAAACAUUUCAGGAGCUCUAAAGAAUUGUGAAUUUAACUUUAUCAUAAUGCAUCUGAAUGGACAUAUAUUUGAUAUUUGUUCAGUGGUAUUCAGAUGCAGACGAUGGUGCAGAAUACUGUGAUUGUAAUGCUAAGAACUGCUUCAUGAGUAGUUGAUUCAUGAGAUUAUUCCGAAUACAUUUACAGACAUAUGUCAUUUAGUGCAAACAUUUUGUAGUGAGUUACACAGGAUUAUGUCUUCCAUGAUUUAUUUGCAUUAAUAUGCAGAAGAAAAAAACAGUGAUCAUAAGAUGCAUAGUUUUAUUCAAAAUCAGAGACAUUUUCUUACUGUCACCAAGUUGUUACACUUGAAAUUAUUUUCAUGUUAUUUUUUUUGAAAGCAUCGUUUAUAGACAUAUCUUUGGUACUUUAAAAGACAAUGACUUGAAAUUAAAAAUAUUUUCUUUAUAAUCAUCAUCUGCGUGUGUGGUUACAAUCACAAUAAUUCUAAUUGUAUUUCUUGGCAGAGUUAUGCCCCUUUCAUACUUAAAAUCAAAAUUAAAAAUAAAGAAUGUCAGUACACCUUCU